rnacentral:rRNA from 1 species
CAGGCCUAUCACAUGCAAGUCGACCGGGCCCUUCCGGGUCAGUGCGGGACCGGUGAGUACCUAGCUGGGAACGUACCCUUGGUUUCGGAACAACCCGGCGAAAAUAGGGCUAAUACCGGAUACGCGCUAGAUCGGACAGGUUCACCGCCGAAGGAUCGGCACGCGUCUGAUUAGCUAGUGGGUGAGGUAACGGCUCAUCAUCGCGACGAUCAUUAGCUAGUCUGAUAGGAUGAUCAACCACAUUGGGACUGAGACACAGCCCAAACUCCUACGGGAGGCAGCAGUGGGGAAUAUUGGACAAUGGGCGUAAGCCUGAUCCAGCCAUGCCGCGUGAGUGAUGACAGCCUUAGGGUUGUAAAGCUCUCUUACUCGGGAAGAUAAUGACGGUACCGAGAGAAUAAGCCCCGGCUAACUUCGUGCCAGCAGCAGCGGUAAU